CACGUAGGGGGCAAGCGUUGUCCGGAUUUAUUGGGCGUAAAGAGCUCGUAGGCGGUUCGGUAAGUCGGGUGUGAAACCUCCAGGCUCAACCUGGAGACGCCACCCGAUACUGCUGUGACUCGAGUCCGGUAGGGGAGCGUGGAAUUCCUGGUGUAGCGGUGAAAUGCGCAGAUAUCAGGAGGAACACCAGCGGCGAAGGCGGCGUUCUGGACUGCAACUGACACUGAGAGACGAAAGCCAGGGGAGCAAACGGG
rnacentral:rRNA from 1 species